UUUAGUUAACACUAACCUGAUGGGACAAAUUGAUCAUAUGGGUAUCAAAUUCAGAGGGAAAGCUCAGAGACAAAAAUUCGAAAAGCUAGCAGAGAGAGAGAUGCACCCAAGUUUCUAUGCUGAUGAUUGGGCAAUGACUGCCCUUGGACUAAGAGAGAGUGUCAUGUAUCUGCUGAGUCAAAUAGGGUGGGAAACCACUCCUAUUCGAUGAUAAUUUGUCACUUACCGGAGACUAACUCUUGAAUUCCUUAGCUCCAUGAUCUAUCUACCAAACCAUGGAAAAGGAAUAAGCCGAGGUUUCAUUCAGUUCAGGAUGUUCAAUAUGGAGUAUCAAUUUAACAUUCAAGACUUUACUAACCUUUUAGGGUUCCCUACCUCUUUUGAUAUCUUGUUGUUACAAGAAUUUGAUUUGGAAAUCAAAGAUAAAAAAGGAACUGAAAACGUAGUAGCAGAUCACCUUUCUAGACUUGAAAACCUGGAACCGGAAAGAACAUCGAUCAAUGAUGACUUCUUGUACGAUAAACUUAUAGCUAAUUUGGAAGAAAAUAGAGCUGAUGAACAAAUAGAGACCACCUUGGUUGUAUGCGUUACACCAUGGUACGCCGACUUUGUCAAUUAUUUAGCCGCCAGAAUAGUUCCACUUAAUUUAUCCUACCAGCAAAAGAAACGAUUCUUCCAUGACAUGAAACAUUAUUAUUGGGACGACCCUUUACUUUUCAAAAGAGGCCCCGAUGGUAUUUUUCGUCGGUGUAUACCUGAAGAAGAGAUAGAAAGUAUAAUCCAACAUAGUCAUUCCGCUCCUUAUGGUGGACACGCAAGUACAUCCAAGACCUGCUCUAAAAUCCUACAAGCCGGCCUUUAUUGGCCAAACAUAUGGAAGGAUGUGCAUGCUGCUGUCAAGAAAUGUGAUAGAUGUCAACGCACAGGAAACAUAUCUAGACGUGACGAGAUGCCACAAAAGGGCAUUUUGGAAGUAGAGAUUUUCGACGUGUGGGGAAUAGAUUUCAUGGGACCUUUUCCACCUUCUUUCGGUAACAAGUACAUACUCGUAGCGGUUGACUACGUAUCAAAAUGGAUUGAAGCUAUAGCUUCUCCAACAAACGACACACGAGUAGUAACUAGACUCUUUAAGAAUAUAAUCUUUCCAAGAUUUGGUGUCCCAAGGAUAGUAGUCAGUGAUGGUGGAUCGCAUUUCAUAUCUAAGAUACUCGAAAAACUAUUGUUUAAGUAUGGUGUAAAACAUCGAGUAGCGACACCUUACCAUCCUCAAACCAGUGGACAAGUGGAAGUGUCUAACAGAGAAAUUAAACAGAUAUUGGAAAAAACAGUCGCCACGUCAAGAAAAGACUGGUCAUCAAAAUUACCUGAAGCUUUAUGGGCUUAUCGAACUGCUUACAAAACUCCCAUAGGAACAACCCCAUUUAGGCUUAUUUACGGAAAAUCUUGCCACCUCCCGGUAGAAUUAGAACAUAAGGCCUAUUGGGCUAUUAAAAAUUUAAAUUUAAACUAUAAGGCCGCCGGUGAAAAGCGAAUCCUUGAUAUAAACGAAUUAGAAGAACUUAGACAAGACGCAUACGAAAAUGCCAGAAUCUACAAGGAAAGAACGAAAAAAUGGCAUGAUAAGCGUAUAUCAAGGAAAACUUUCAAACAAGGCGAUGUAGUCCUAUUGUUUAACUCUAGACUUAAGUUAUUCCCAGGAAAACUACGCUCUAGAUGGUCAGGCCCUUUCCAAGUCACUAAUGUUUUCCCUAGUGGAGCUGUGGAAAUUAAGGGAAAAUCUAUGGAAACAUUUAUCGUAAACGGGCAGCGUCUGAAACAUUAUCACUAUGAUGAAAACAAUGAAGACUCGCAAGUCCUGAAAUUAGACGUAUUGUCUCCUAAAUCUAUAGAUUAACAUUUACUAGUUUUAUGUCGAGCUUGCGACAUUAAACAAAGCGCUUCGUGGGAGACAACCCACAAAUUUUUACUAUCUUUUCUUUGAUUAUUCUUUUGAUUUUAUUUAGUAUUCAUUCUUCAUUUAUUUUAUUUUAUAAAACUUUUCUUCUUUUCUUCUUUCGGCAUCUGGCCAAAUCCUGACUAAAUUCUUGUUUUUCUUUUCUUUAGUUAACACUAACCUGAUGGGACAAAUUGAUCGUAUGGGUAUCAAAUUCAGAGGGAAAGCUCAGAGACAAAAAUUCGAAGAACUAGCAGAGAGAGAGAUGCACCCAAGUUUCUAUGCUGAUGAUUGGGCAAUGACUGCCCUUGGACUAAGAGAGAGUGUCCUGUAUCUGCUGAGUCAAAUAGGGUGGGAAACCACACCUAUUCGAAGACAAUUUGUUACUUAC
rnacentral:lncRNA from 1 species